GACGAACGCUGGCGGCGUGCUUAACACAUGCAAGUCGAGCGGAAAGGCCCUUCGGGGUACUCGAGCGGCGAACGGGUGAGUAACACGUGAGUAAUCUGCCCUUGGCUUUGGGAUAACUACCGGAAACGGUGGCUAAUACCGGAUACGACGCACUCAGGCAUCUGAUGUGUGUGGAAAGUUUUUUCGGUCCAGGGAUGUGCUCGCGGCCUAUCAGCUUGUUGGUGGGGUAAUGGCCUACCCAAGGCUUCGACGGGUAGCCGGCCUGAGAGGGUGACCGGCCACACUGGGACUGAGACACGGCCCAGACUCCUACGGGAGGCAGCAGUGGGGGAAUAUUGGACAAUGGGCGGAAGCCUGAUCCAGCAACGCCGCGUGAGGGA
rnacentral:rRNA from 1 species